UUUCCGUAGGUGAACCUGCGGAAGGAUCAUUAUUGGAUUUUGAAACUUCAGGCUGCUGCUGGCUCUCCUCGGGGGGCAUGUGCACGCUUGUUGUCCAUUAUUUCUCCCACUGUGCACAAAUUGUAGACCUUUCAGUAGGCCUAUGUUGUUUUUCACAAUCUCUGAAUGUAAUAGAAUGGUUUUGAAUCUUGGGAAAUAUAAUACAACUUUCAGCAACGGAUCUCUUGGCUCUC
rnacentral:misc_RNA from 1 species